AACUACAUGCUGAAGGAUACAAAAAAAACAACAACAGCAAUAGAAUAAUAUUAAACACAAAGUGAACCCGUCUUCCUUCAUUAAAUAGGUUCUUUUAGAUGUUAAGGAGGAAUUGACUUAACCAGGCUGGCGGAGAAUGAAGACAACCGGACACCUGCUGCAGAUGGGGAAUCAGUGAACUUUUAUUGAGACAGAGACAAACUCUCAACGCAGCUCACAUCAAGAGAUUCCAAAUAUUUGCUAUGAGGAGAAAAGAGUCCAGGCACCACCCUGCCCAGGGGUCGGCUGCAAGCAGUCUCGGUUCCCGAUGAAAGCAGUAACAGCUGUCCUGCACACAAGGGCUGGUGUGUGGAGUUGAUGACUGUCUCAACACAUGUUAAUUGUUCUCCCAAUGUGCUAAGAAUAACACCGGGACCCCAACCAUCAUCAUUAGUUUCUCGAUCUAAU
ensembl:lncRNA